rnacentral:lncRNA from 1 species
CAAUAGAGACCAUAUGCAGCUCGCAAAACCUCAAAUCUUUACUGUUUGGUCCUUUACAGGAAAAGCUUGCCAACCUCCUGAACUAGACCAAAUUUUACCCCUACUGUAUGAACUAUGCUCAGGCCUGCUAAGGAGUUGGAGUUCAUCACAGCCGCUGGCGUGGAUGGAUGGAUGGAUGGAUGGAUCCACCCAAAGAUGGAUAAGAAAAGUAGCAUGGAGACAGAUUGGAUAUUCUAAACAUCACUCUCCUGCUGGAAUAGUCUGGAUCUAGUUUUGCCUAGAUGCC